UCAAAAAUGGAGGAGUAACGACAUGUAAACACGUAAUUUGACGUCUAAAUCAACGCCGUGUAAACCAACUUAGACCUAACUUCAGUAAAAUACAUCUUUCGUCGAAUUCUUGAUUUUAUUAUUAAGUUUUGAGAACUACAUCGCGUAUUUGUGAAAUCAUUCGCCAGUUUCCAGCGCCAGAAGAUUUCAAAGAUUGUGGAUCUGUGGGCAAACUGGCAAACCACAGAGACGUCAUUCACCUGAGAGAGAGAGGGAGAGAGAGAGAGAGACUGCAGAAAGAGACAGAGGCAAGAUUAUGGUGAUUUAGGGUCAUAAUGACGAAGGCAAAUAUUUGUUCGGUCUGUAUGAAAAGAGCUGAAUGAAGUCUCACACUGCCGGCAUCACAGGAAUCUUGGAAAAAGGAGAGAACGAGGGAAGAAGUCAUCAGAAAGAGUGCAGAGAAAGGAGAGAUAUUCAGUAAGACAGAGGGAUAAAAAGUAUUUUAUUAUUAAUUAAUAUGGUAUGAAUCCCCCUAGUGGCCCGUCAUGUAUUUGCAUUUGCCAAUCAUUCAGAUUUACACUGGAUUACUGCUAGAUAUUUUCCUAUUUGCAGAGAAAAUGUUUGCUAUGUGUGUUCAUGAAUAUUCAAAAAUGCCUCUUGAAUACUUCCAUCCAUGAACAGAAACCUGCUGUAGAAAUUAGUAAAGCGGCAUUACUGAGUU